rnacentral:rRNA from 1 species
GACGAACGCUGGCGGCGUGCUUAACACAUGCAAGUCGAACGGAAAGGCCCUGCUUUUGUGGGGUGCUCGAGUGGCGAACGGGUGAGUAACACGUGAGUAACCUGCCCUUGACUUUGGGAUAACUUCAGGAAACUGGGGCUAAUACCGGAUAGGAGCUCCUGCUGCAUGGUGGGGGUUGGAAAGUUUCGGCGGUUGGGGAUGGACUCGCGGCUUAUCAGCUUGUUGGUGGGGUAGUGGCUUACCAAGGCUUUGACGGGUAGCCGGCCUGAGAGGGUGACCGGGCACAUUGGGACUGAGGGACGGCCCAGACGCCUACGGGAGGCAGCAGUGGGGAAUAUUGCACAAUGGGCGGAAGCCUGAUGCAGCAACGCCGCGUGCGGGAUGACGGCCUUCGGGUUGUAAACCGCUUUCGCCUGUGACGAAGCGUGAGUGACGGUAAUGGGUAAGGAAGCACCGGCUAACUACGUG